UACGGAGGGUGCAAGCGUUGUCCGGAAUCACUGGGCGUAAAGGGCGCGUAGGCGGCUCAUGAAGGCUGUGGGGAAAGUCCGGGGCUCAACCUCGGAUCGGCCGUGGCGACUCGUGGGCUGGAGCACUGUAGAGGCGGGUGGAAUUCCGGGUGUAGCGGUGAAAUGCGCAGAUAUCAGGAGGAACACCGGUGGCGAAGGCGGGUCUCUGGGCCGAUAUUGACGCUGAGGAGCGAAAGCGUGGGGAGCGAACAGG
rnacentral:rRNA from 1 species